AUUGAACGCUGGCGGCAGGCUUAACACAUGCAAGUCGAGCGGGGUGAUGGUGCUUGCACUAUCACUUAGCGGCGGACGGGUGAGUAAUGCUUAGGAAUCUGCCUAUUAGUGGGGGACAACAUCUCGAAAGGGAUGCUAAUACCGCAUACGUCCUACGGGAGAAAGCAGGGGAUCACUUGUGACCUUGCGCUAAUAGAUGAGCCUAAGUCGGAUUAGCUAGUGGGUGGGGUAAAGGCCUACCAAGGCGACGAUCUGUAGCGGGUCUGAGAGGAUGGUCCGCCACACUGGGGCUGAGAGACGGCCCAGACUCCUACGGGAGGGAGCAGUGGGGAAUAUUGGACAAUGGGGGGAACCCUGAUCCAGCCAUGCCGCGUGUGUGAAGAAGGCCUUAUGGUUGUAAAGCACUUUAAGCGAGGAGGAGGCUCUUUUGGUUAAUACCCAAGAUGAGUGGACGUUACUCGCAGAAUAAGCACCGGCUAACUCUGUGCCAGCAGCCGCGGUAA
rnacentral:rRNA from 1 species